rnacentral:rRNA from 1 species
UACGUAGGUGACCAGCGUUGUCCGGAUUUACUGGGCGUAAAGAGCGCGCAGGCGGUCGUUCAAGUCGAGUGUGAAAGCCCCCGGCUCAACUGGGGAGGGUCAUUCGAUACUGAUCGACUCGAAGGCAGGAGAGGGAAGUGGAAUUCCCGGUGCAGUGGUGAAAUGCGUAGAUAUCGGGAGGAACACCAGUGGCGAAGGCGACUUCCUGGCCUGUUCUUGACGCUGAGGCGCGAAAGCUAGGGGAGCAAACGGG